rnacentral:rRNA from 1 species
UACGAAGGGGGCUAGCGUUGCUCGGAAUUACUGGGCGUAAAGGGCGCGUAGGCGGACAGUUAAGUCAGAGGUGAAAGCCCAGGGCUCAACCCUGGAAUUGCCUUUGAUACUGGCUGUCUUGAGUGCGGGAGAGGUGUGUGGAACUCCGAGUGUAGAGGUGAAAUUCGUAGAUAUCAGGAAGAACACCCGUGGCGAAGGCGGCUCUCUGGGACGGUACUGACGCUGAGACGCGAAAGCGUGGGGGAGCGAACAGG